rnacentral:tRNA from 1 species
GCCAGUGUGGCAUAGUGGUUUAAACAUUGAAUUAUAACUUUGGAGACCAGGGUUUGAUUCCCUGCUCGAGCA